rnacentral:rRNA from 1 species
CGCUGGCGGCGUGGAUUAGGCAUGCAAGUCGAACGCGAAAGUUCCCUUCGGGGAGCGAGUAGAGUGGCGAAAGGGUGAGUAAUGCUUGGAUGACCUGCCCUCGAGACGGGGACAACAGUUCGAAAGGACUGCUAAUACCCGAUAGUCCGGUUUAGAUGCGUCUAGAUCGGUAAAUGGUGCUUCCGCUCGAGAGGGGUUCAAGUCCUAUCAGCUUGUUGGUGAGGUAACGGCUCACCAAGGCGAUGACGGGUAGCCGGACUGAGAGGUUGGCCGGCCACAUGGGAACUGAGACACUGUCCUGACUCCUACGGGAGGCUGCAGUCGAGAAUCUUCUGCAAUGGGCGAAAGCCUGACAGAGCGACGCCGCGUGGAGGAUGAAGGCCCUCGGGUCGUAAACUCCUGUCACAUGUUAUGAAACGCACAGGUCUACCUGUGCGCUGACAAAAGCAUGAGAGGAAGUCACGGCUAACUUCGUG